rnacentral:lncRNA from 1 species
AUGCGGACAUCCCACUAGCAAGCCAGCAUCACAUGAGCCAGAGCUGGAUCCAGAGGCCGGGAUAAGAACAUCUCCUGUGGCACAGAAGCAAGAACCAGGCGCGCAGCCAGAGGACAAUGAAGCGGAGUCUGUGAAGCAGGAGUCAGAUGAGCCGGACACGACAGAUAGCGAGGUGGUGGCUGCGUCGGAGCAUGACCCCCGCCAGGAAGCUCCGGCUGAAGAAGAGCAGUUCUGCACAAAGGACAAAGCUCAGGUUUUGCAGAAGAAAAGGCAAAGAGGGCAGGAUCCCCAAGCCAAAGAGUAUAAGAAGUCAGUGAGAGCGAGAAAGAAAGUCAAAGUGGCCCAGGCUCCAGCUGGCGCACCAGGAAUGACAAAGGAAAUGGACAGCAGCAGCCCGGCUUCCAGCAACGAAGAACUGUAACAGAGAGCUGACAAUGUAGUCCGUGGGCCAGGAGCCGAAGAUCCCAGCAUUGGACACCCAGCUGUGACAGUGUCUCCUUCUGUGACUGUAGGCAACUCGCUGAACUGCUGUCCUCUGGCUUCC